AACGAACGCUGGCGGCAUGCCUAACACAUGCCAGUCGAACGAGACCUUCGGGUCUAGUGGCGCACGGGUGCGUAACGCGUGGGAACCUGCCCUUAGGUUCGGAAUAACUCCCCGAAAGGGGUGCUAAUACCGGAUAAUGUCUUCGGACCAAAGAUUUAUCGCCUUUGGAUGGGCCCGCGUUGGAUUAGCUAGUUGGUAGGGUAAAAGCCUACCAAGGCGACGAUCCAUAGCUGGUCUGAGAGGAUGAUCAGCCACACUGGGACUGAGACACGGCUCAGACUCCUACGGGAGGCAGCAGUGGGGAAUAUUGGACAAUGGGCGAAAGCCUGAUCCAGCAAUGCCGCGUGAGUGAUGAAGGCCUUAGGGUUGUAAAGCUCUUUUACCCGGGAUGAUAAUGACAGUACCGGGAGAAUAAGCGCCGGCUAACUCCGUG
rnacentral:rRNA from 1 species